GAUGAGCGCUGGCGGCGUGCCUAAUACAUGCAAGUCGAGCGAACGGACGAGAAGCUUGCUUUUCUGAUGUUAGCGGCGGACGGGUGAGUAACACGUGGAUAACCUACCUAUAAGACUGGGAUAACUUCGGGAAACCGGAGCUAAUACCGGAUAAUAUUUUGAACCGCAUGGUUCAAAAGUGAAAGACGGUCUUGCUGUCACUUAUAGAUGGAUCCGCGCUGCAUUAGCUAGUUGGUAAGGUAACGGCUUACCAAGGCAACGAUGCAUAGCCGACCUGAGAGGGUGAUCGGCCACACUGGAACUGAGACACGGUCCAGACUCCUACGGGAGGUAGCAGUAGGGAAUCUUCCGCAAUGGGCGAAAGCCUGACGGAGCAACGCCUCGUGAGUGAUGAAGGUCUUCGGAUCGUAAAACUCUGUUAUUAGGGAAGAACAUAUGUGUAAGUAACUGUGCACAUCUUGACGGUACCUAAUCAGAAAGCCACGGCUAACUACGUG
rnacentral:rRNA from 1 species